rnacentral:tRNA from 1 species
GGGCCAUUAGCUCAACGGAUAGAGCUACCCUCUCCUAAAGGGUAGAUACAGGUUCGAUUCCCGUAUGGCCUACCA